UUGUGUACAGGGCGAUGUACCGAGCUAUUGCUCGACGAAGGAACUCGUAUGCAUGGUCGCCUAAAUAGUACUGUGAGUGGACAUUUGUUUUUAAAUUAAUUCCGCAUGCAGUAUUAUUAUUAUUUUCUUCCAAUGAGAUUUAAUUAUGUUUUGAAUAUUUGAGAUUUAGUUUAUCGAGAUUUAUUUAUGGAUUACGAGAUUAGUAUUGAAAUUCCUUCCCGAGGGCUUUUAGUAGAUUUUUGAGAUAGUCAUUCAUGAGUUAUUGAGUUGGGAAAUGAUUUUCGGGAAGUGACUGAUUCGGAAAAAUAUUAUGAGAAUUAUUGUUUUCGAAUAUCAGUUUUUAUGAAGAUAUACGAGUGCGAGGGAUUUAGCAAAUAUUUGAGCAUGAUUGAUUUAUCGAGAUUUAUUGGGUUUUGAAUUCCGCACUUAUCAGACUUGGGUUAGAUGGAACUUUCUUUCCGAAAGCAAUUAUUGAAUUAUAGAGUAUGUGAUUAUGCUUUCGAGGAUUUAUUGAGAUAUCGAGGAUUGAGUUAUGAUUGAAAGAGGUUAUGUUCAGUUCUUGAGGAGGCUAUUCAGUUUAUUAAGGAGGCCAGUUUUGGCGCAUGCGUAUCUUACCUAGUUGGCAGUCCCUUCUAGGUAAUAGUCUGGUUGGCAGUCCCUUCCAGACUACAGCUCGGUUGGCAGUCCCAUCCGAUGCGUCACCUGGUUGGC
rnacentral:lncRNA from 1 species